CUGACCCAGCCACGCCGCGUGCAGGAAGACGGCCCUCUGGGUUGUAAACUGCUUUUAACUGGGAAGAAAGUAGCCUAUGCGUAGGAAGUUGACGGUACCAGUUGAAUAAGCCACGGCUAACUACGUGCCAGCAGCCGCGGUAAUACGUAGGUGGCGAGCGUUAUCCGGAUUUAUUGGGUUUAAAGGGAGCGUAGGCGGCUAAUUAAGUCAGUGGUUAAAGGUAGCAGCUUAACUGUUUUACAUGCCAUUGAUACUGGUUAGCUUGAGUUGACAGAAGGCAGAUAGAAUUUCUGGUGUAGCGGUGAAAUGCUUAGAUACCAGAAGGAAUACCGAUUGCGAAGGCAGUCUGCUGCAGUCACACUGACGCUGAGGCUCGAAGGUGCGGGGAUCAAACAGGAUUAGAUACCCUGGUAGUCCGCACAGUAAACGAUGAUUACUAGAUGUUGGCCAAGCCAGUGUCCAAGGGAAACCGAUAAGUAAUCCA
rnacentral:rRNA from 1 species